UCCUCCUUGUUGUAUACCACUCCAGCAGCCUUUGUGUCACCUGCAAAUUUUGUCUGCAGUCAUUUUGCAUGGGCUGGACCCAGUACUGCUUCUCGUGAAAGCACCGUCUUUCAAUGAUGACUUCUCAUUGACAGCUACAUUGGAGGCCUAUCAGGUAGCCAUUGCUAAUGCAAUUUGGUGUAUGCUCUGCUUGUACUAUCAGAGUUAUUUUAACCUGUUGAUUGCUUGGUUCAAGUAGCAAAACAGUUUGGCACCCAGGAGUCUUGAAAGCCUAAAUUUCAUGUGGUGGAAGGUAGCUGUAACGUUCAAAUUCUGCCCUGCAGGCUGCACUGAGCCUAGAGCAUCCCCUGCUGCUUCAAUCUUGGGAUGGCACUCCCAGUCAAGGAGCCCAGGCAGGGAACUGGUUGUGUAGUUUGUGUUCAUUUUUGUUGUUUUGUGUGAGGCAAUCUUUUACUCCUUAGGUGUUGCUUAUUCUUAUACAGGGAAAAAAAAAAAAAAAUCAGGUUUGAAACUGUCCUGGAAAAAGGAUUUGAUGUUUUCUCACAGCAGUUCCAUUCUUUGUCUCGACUUCUACAGCCAUUUUCUAGAAGUCCCCUGUGCAAAAAGAAGAUGAAAAUGUAUAAAAUAAAGAGGAUACAGAAUAAACUCUAUAAUUAUAUUUUAUACCCCGACAUAUACUAACAGCAGCCAUGCCUAUAAUGUCCAAUUCAGGAAAAAUAUGGAUGCCUUCCUCUAAGGAGUAAAUUUUCAAAAGUCACUUUUUCACAUUUCAUGAGUCCAGAGGGUAGGCACUGUUUAACUCACACUUACUUAAAUCAGAUAUAUUAUAUUUAUUCAGAUAUAACCUUCAGGGUAGCAUGCAUAACUGAAGUGUUUUAAUGGUUACAUUUUCCCAACAGAACAUGUUGAAGAUCAUGUAGGUGAGUAAUCAACGCCAUAAAAUAGCUACCCCAUUUCCAUUGCUUUGGACAAAUCCUCAUUCUGAUUUUCUUGGUUCUCGGUGCGACGUGCCAGUUUAUCACCGUUGAAUGGUGAAAUUCACUCCAUCUCACUGAAACACUACUGUGAUAUACAUACCUGGUUAUUUCUUCCACUGUUUUCCUUCACUGUGUACACUCUUGGUUUUGAGCAGUUUCUGUACAUUUACUAAAUCUACCCUCACAUUUUGCAGUGUAGGGCAUUAUUUCUGUCUCUGUUUUACAUAUAGAAAAUAAGACAUAGGUUGUUCCAAGGUGACAGAGGAAGUGACUGGCAAGGGGUGGCAAAAGCCCGGAUGUCCUGAAUUGGAGUCUAAUGUUUAAACCAUAAGGCCAUCAUUCCUCAAACACUUCAUCAGAGGAAAAGACAUGUCAGUGACUCUGUUCUGCAUUGUUUUCUGAGAUAGAAGAAUUCCCAAGCUGCUGACGAAAAGGUGCUUUUUAAAAAAUGUCAGAAGUUAAACAGAUCUCCUCAGAGAAGCUGAAGAUGGAAAUAUUUCUCAUGUGAGCAAUUGAACACACACAGAACGGAGGCUGCUUUGCGCUGAGUGAUCCUGGAGAUGUAGUUAUUCCGAACUGAAUAUUUCUGAAGUUUCCUUUUGAUUCCUGUAAUAGGAGACACGGCAAUGAUGUUUAUCUCCUGAACAAGACACAACAAAUGACCUUGUUGCUUCAGGGGCAAGCCAGCAUGAAGAAUGAAUGAAUGCAUGUGAAUGACCAAAGACAAGGCAUCAAAGAAGGAAUUCAGAUUCCACUAAUGGAAAGUUUUGGAACAGAAUUGAACAGAAGAUAUUGCCGUGGUUUGCUCAAAAAUAAGACAGAACGUUUUCAUUACUCCUGAGGGACAUUUAUGGAGAACAGGCAAAAGGGAGGACAUAUAUCUGUAGGUCAAAUAAAGAGGGUCUGAAGAACAACUACAACAACAAGGAAGCAAUGCAGAAACAGAAACCUGAAUCAAUAUUCAGUCAAGCCCAUUAAUUAUGCAACUCAUUUUGUACUGAUGAAGCUAUGAGAGCGGUA